GGGCCCGCACAAGCGGUGGAGCAUGUGGUUUAAUUCGAUGAUACGCGAGGAACCUUACCAGGGCUUAAAUGUUAGGUGACAGAUCUAGAAAUAGAUUUUUCUUCGGACACUUAACAAGGUGCUGCAUGGUUGUCGUCAGCUCGUGCCGUGAGGUGUCAGGUUAAGUCCUAUAACGAGCGCAACCCCUGUUGUUAGUUGCCAGCGAGUAAUGUCGGGAACUCUAGCAAGACUGCCAGUGCAAACUGUGAGGAAGGUGGGGAUGACGUCAAAUCAUCACGGCCCUUACGUCCUGGGCUACACACGUGCUACAAUGGUAGGUACAGAGAGCAGCUACCGGGUGACCGGAUGCGAAUCUCUAAAGCCAAUCUCAGUUCGGAUUGGAGUCUGCAACUCGACUCUAUGAAGCUGGAAUCGCUAGUAA
rnacentral:rRNA from 1 species